rnacentral:rRNA from 1 species
UACGUAGGGGGCAAGCGUUGUCCGGAAUCAUUGGCGUAAAGAGCGUGUAGGCGGUUCGGUAAGUCGGCUGUGAAAGUCCAGGGCUCAACCCUGGGAUGCCGGUCGAUACUGCCGGACUAGAGUUCGGAAGAGGCGAGUGGAAUUCCCGGUGUAGCGGUGAAAUGCGCCAGAUAUCGGGAGGAACACCUAUGGCGAAGGCAGCUCGCUGGGACGUUACUGACGCU